rnacentral:rRNA from 1 species
UACAGAGGGGGCAAGCGUUGUUCGGAAUUACUGGGCGUAAAGGGCGCGUAGGCGGCCUGUUAAGUCGAACGUGAAAUCCCCGGGCUCAACCCGGGAACUGCGUCCGAUACUGGCAGGCUUGAAUCCGGGAGAGGGAUGUGGAAUUCCUGGUGUAGCGGUGAAAUGCGCAGAUAUCAGGAGGAACACCGGUGGCGAAGGCGGGGUCUCUGGGCCGAUACUGACGCUGAGGAGCGAAAGCGUGGGGAGCGAACAGG